GUGGCUCAGCGGUUAAGAGCACUGGCUACUUGUCCAAAGGACCUGGGUUCAAUUCCCAGC
rnacentral:tRNA from 1 species